rnacentral:rRNA from 1 species
CGCCUUCGCCACGCCCGCUACAAGUAAACUUAAAGUGAAUUCGACGGGACCCCCGCACAAGCGGUGGAUCAUGUGUUUAAUUCGAUGAUACGCGAAGAACCUUACCAGGUCUUGACAUCCCCCGCGAUGCUUUUAGAGAUAAAGCGGAGGUAUUCGGGGAGACAGGUGGUGCAUGGUUGUCGUCAGCUCGUGUCGUGAGAUGUUGGGUUAAGUCCCGCAACGAGCGCAACCCCUAUUGCUAGUUACCAUCAUUAAGUUGGGGACUCUAGCGAGACUGCCAGUGAUAAACUGGAGGAAGGUGGGGAUGACGUCAAAUCAUCAUGCCCCUUAUGACCUGGGCUACAAACGUGAUACAAUGGCUGGAACAAAGGGAUGCGAAGCAGUGAUGUGGAGCGAAACCCAUAAAAACAGUCUCAGUUCGGAUUGAAGUCUGCAACUCGACUUCAUGAAGUCGGAAUCGCUAGUAAUCGCGGAUCAGAACGCCGCGGUGAAUACGUUCUCGGGGUUU